rnacentral:rRNA from 1 species
UCGACCUGAGCCUMAGGCAGAC